AACAGGCAGGUUGGUCUCGACAUGCACCUCGGCUAUCUCGUCCUCACGGCUUUCCUGGGGCAACUGCUGGGCAUCAUGGGGCAGACCACCGUCACCCAGAAAGAAGGACAAGUCACAGUGAAGCAGAGACACACCUUCCAGACAAACUGCACAUACCAGACCUCGUACUUUCAGGGCUUGCUCUGGUACCAGCAGAGGAAAGGCCAAGCUCCCCAGCUGGUCUCGUAUCAGGCAGCAGCUGGCUCCAAGCGGAACGGCCGUAUCACCACGUUCCUGAACACCACCGGGAAAUACAGCCUCCUGCAGCUGGAGGAAGUCGAGGUCUCUGACAGUGCCUUGUACCUCUGUGCUGUGCAAGACACCCUGGUGCAGGGAGCUUCCUUGGCU